UGCCCCUGACUCUGGAAUAACCGUGGGAAACGACGGCUAAUACCGGAUAUGAGACGUCCACGCAUGUGAGCGUCUGGAAAGAUUUAUCGGUCUGGGAUGGACUCGCGGCCUAUCAGCUUGUUGGUGGGGUAAUGGCCCACCAAGGCGACGACGGGUAGCCGGCCUGAGAGGGCGACCGGCCACACUGGGACUGAGAUACGGCCCAGACUCAUACGGGAGGCAGCAGUGGGGAAUAUUGCACAAUGGGCGCAAGCUGAUGCAGCGACGCCGCGUGGGGGAUGAAGGCCUUCGGGUUGUAAACCCUUUCAGCAGGGAAGAAGCGAAAGUUACGGUACCUGCAGAAGAAGCGCCGGCUAACUACGUGCCAGCAGCCGCGGUAAUACGUAGGGCGCAACGUUGUCCGGAAUUAUUGGGCGUAAAGAGCUCGUAGGCGGUUUAUCGCGUCUGCUGUGAAAACCCGAGGCUCAACCUCGGGCUUGCAGUGGGUACGGGCAGACUAGAGUGCGGUAGGGGUGACUGGAAAUUCCUGGUGUAGCGGUGGAAUGCGCAGAUAUCAGGAGGAACACCGAUGGCCGAAGGCAGGUCACUGGGCCGCAACUGACGCUGAGGAGCGAAAGCAUGGGGAGCGAACAGGAUUAGAUACCCUGGUAGUCCAUGCCGUAAACGUUGGGCACUAGGUGUGGGGCUCAUUCCACGAGUUCCGUGCCGCAGCAAACGCAUUAAGUGCCCCGCCUGGGGAGUACGGCCGCAAGGCUAAAACUCAAAGGAAUUGACGGGGGCCGCACAAGCGGCGGAGCAUGCGGAUUAAUUCGAUGCAACGCGAAGAACCUUACCAAGGCUUGACAUACACCGGAAAAGUGCAGAGAUGUGCUCCCCGCAAGGUCGGUGUACAGGUGGUGCAUGGUUGUCGUCAGCUCGUGUCGUGAGAUGUUGGGUUAAGUCCCGCAACGAGCGCAACCCUCGUCCUAUGUUGCCAGCACGUUAUGGUGGGGACUCAUAGGAGACUGCCGGGGUCAACUCGGAGGAAGGUGGGGAUGACGUCAAAUCAUCAUGCCCCUUAUGUCUUGGGCUUCACGCAUGCUACAAUGGCCGGUACAAAGGGCUGCGAUACCGCAAGGUGGAGCGAAUCCCAAAAAGCCGGUCUCAGUUCGGAUUGGGGUCUGCAACUCGACCCCAUGAAGUCGGAGUCGCUAGUAAUCGCAGAUCAGCAACGCUGCGGUGAAUACGUUCCCGGGCCU
rnacentral:rRNA from 1 species